ensembl:lncRNA
GCCAGGGCGGGUGGAGGCGGAGCUGGAGGAUCCUGGCUCUCUGGUCCUUUGCCCGCUGGUGGGAUGUCAAAAGGUGUGUUGGUGGCCUGGUGGUCGGAGGCAACUUGCUUUUAAGACCCUCAUAGCCAGGCUAGAACCUCUACUGCAAUGACGAAUAGAAAUGGAGGGACCCAUCCCUGCAUUUUUACCUGAAUGUACCAGCACCCACCCCACAGGACCUUCAGAGACAGCAAGGAGCAGGCGGCAUUAUUGUACAUUUGUCGCUGCUGCUGACAGACCUCAAACAAAGCAAAGAAAUUGUUGACCCACCUCACGGAAUUUACAACAAAAUGUUUAUAGCAUUUCUGGGUAGAAACAAUGGCCAACUCCAUCUUUCUUGGCAUGACUUUUUAUUGAUUACAGACUCACAGUCUUGAAAUCAUCUGAAUAUAGUGCUU